UUGAAGCAUGACUCAGCCCAAAAUGAAUAUCUUUCCAAGGGUGCUGGAUUCUUCCCAUUCAAAUCAACAGGAUUUGAAGGUGCUUCACUCCGGUGCCAUAGCUCCCGGACAGAAAACGAGCAUCAUGCAAGCUAAAAAAAAAAAAAAAAAAGGGUGCAACACUUGGCAGAAAACAAACUGGAUGUGAGUUUGGUUGAAUUUUGCUAAGGUGUGGAAGUGUCUUCUUCAGCAAUCCUGGUGUGUCAAGAUGCCUUCCUCCUCACCGAACUCAAACUGCCCAGUUGCAAUCCAAAGCUUAUUUACCAGGGAGUAAGAUUCCAUUGCACUAAGAAGGAAUUAAUUCUAAAUAAAAUGCUGAGUAGGCAUGUUGUAAAAUGUUCAAUAAAUCCUUUGAAUUUC